GGAUACCAUAAAACCCAGGAGUCCCAGUGGAAUGAUAGAGAGGAUUAGCAUGACCCCAGCACAAGGAUGACACAAAAAUUUGUGAAAUGUUCCAUAUUUUU
rnacentral:snRNA from 1 species